rnacentral:lncRNA from 1 species
GGGAUAUGAGAAGCCGAGGAAAGCGUGUUCCCAAAGCUAUUUGUGACCACCCCUUCCUCUUCUCCCUAACAAGGAAACCCUGCCUGUGACGAGCUGUACAAGGCCUGGCUCAGCGGCUGGCGGGACAGCAACUGGAGACUUAGGAAGAAAAACAACUUCUAAACGUGGUGUUCGUGCAAGAAAGUAUCAGGGUCCUGGCUCUGUCUUAGAGGAGUAGAAUCAUAUUCAGCAGAUCCUGCAUAUUCCUGGAAGGGGCUUUCUGACCACAUGAUCUUCAGGGUGACACAUGGACAAGAAACAGAUCUUCUUCUUAAUCCACUAUCCUCCGUGGAGACAGACACCGUCAAGGACAAGCACCUGGAUCAUCUCCUCCCUGCAAAGAGAUACAGGCUGGUGGGAAAGCUGCUGACCAAAAAGGUCACAGGAUCCCUCCUCUCUGCAAGUGUCUCGAGGCCAAAGACAGGCUGGUGGGAAAACUCUGACCAGCAAGGCCAUAUGUUCCCCCUCCCCUACCUAAAACCCCAAAUAAAAACCCUUCCUUUUAGCUUUUCGGGGAGUUUGGGAUUUCAGCGUUAGCUGCCCUCUCUCCUUGCUCAGCGCUGUCCAAAAAUAAAAUUCC